CGAAAUCAGAUUUGUGAUUACUUUGUUUCUAUAUGUGAUAAUUAUGUGCAGAAAGAUAGUGAUAUUCUUACUGUAGGUUUAAUAUGUGGCAUUGUCUCGAACUCCACAUCGUACUGAAAGAAAGUAUCCAAGUAAGGCCCAGAGAACGAGAUUGGCCCAACAAGGAACUCUAGUUCUGGUGGUACAAGAACUGUAGAUGCCCCCUGCUUGCAGGCAGCAGCCCACGCUCCUUCAAAAGCCUGUAUGCAAAUGCAUGCACAAUUAUUAGCUGUAGCUUCUUCUGAAAAGACAGUCCUCUGGAAUCUAGCAUCACAAAAUCAAUUGAGCAGGAGGUGAAAACACACUCUGUAAAGCCCAGACCCUAAGCUAGAUAGUCAGAAAUUGCACUGUGCGUCUUAUUAUUUUGGUCUCCAUGUUGGAACAAGCAGCAUUUUGCAACCACUAAGAAAGAAAUUGAAAAUCUAA